UUGGACCCACGCUUUGAAUCAGAGGGACGGUUGGGCUUGUCACGGAGGAGAUGCAUGGCUGGAUUUUCUCGUGUUUAAGGAAGGCUUUGGAUUCACUGCAGAAUAAGCUGGAGUGUAAAUUGAUGAGAAUACAGAAGGAGUGAUUGGUCUAAUUCUCAUAUUCAGGCAAGUAUAAAUCUAUGCAUAGAUUUGCAUGAUAUAACAUUUUUACCUAUUCUUCACUGCAUAAUAUAAAAUUGUGGUUAAAUGUUUUAGAUCAUUGUUUUAAUAUCACAAAUUGUGUCUGUUUAUUUACAGGGUGACCUAACUCUGAAGACGAGCCGAUACAGUGGACACUUGAGGU
rnacentral:lncRNA from 1 species